rnacentral:rRNA from 1 species
AGACCCGAAACCCGGUGAUCUAGCCAUGGGCAGGUUGAAGGUUGGGUAACACUAACUGGAGGACCGAACCGACUAAUGUUGAAAAAUUAGCGGAUGACCUGUGGCUGGGGGUGAAAGGCCAAUCAAACCGGGAGAUAGCUGGUUCUCCCCGAAAGCUAUUUAGGUAGCGCCUCGUGAAUUCAUCUCCGGGGGUAGAGCACUGUUUCGGCUAGGGGGCCAUCCCGGCUUACCAACCCGAUGCAAACUGCGAAUACCGGAGAAUGUUAUCACGGGAGACACACGGCGGGUGCUAACGUCCGUCGUGAAGAGGGAAACAACCCAGACCGCCAGCUAAGGUCCCAAAGUCAUGGUUAAGUGGGAAACGAUGUGGGAAGGCCCAGACAGCCAGGAUGUUGGCUUAGAAGCAGCCAUCAUUUAAAGAAAGCGUAAUAGCUCACUGGUCGAGUCGGCCUGCGCGGAAGAUGUAACGGGGCUAAACCAUGCACCGAAGCUGCGGCAGCGACGCUGAUGCGUUGUUGGGUAGGGGAGCGUUCUGUAAGCCUGCGAAGGUGGCCUGUGAGGGUUGCUGGAGGUAUCAGAAGUGCGAAUGCUGACAUAAGUAACGAUAAAGCGGGUGAAAAGCCCGCUCGCCGGAAGACCAAGGGUUCCUGUCCAACGUUAAUCGGGGCAGGGUGAGUCGACCCCUAAGGCGAGGCCGAAAGGCGUAGUCGAUGGGAAACGGGUUAAUAUUCCCGUACUUGGUGUUACUGCGAAGGGGGGACGGAGAAGGCUAUGUUGGCCGGGCGACGGUUGUCCCGGUUUAAGCGUGUAGGUGUGUGUUCCAGGUAAAUCCGGUUCACUUUAACACUGAGGCGUGAUGACGAGGCACUACGGUG